rnacentral:tRNA from 1 species
GCGGAUGUGGCGGAAUUGGUAGACGCGCAAGAUUUAGGAUCUUGUGCCUCACGGCGUGGGGGUUCGAGUCCCUCCAUCCGCA